AUUGAACGCUGGCGGCAUGCCUUACACAUGCAAGUCGGACGGCAGCACGGGAGCAAUCCUGGUGGCGAGUGGCGAACGGGUGAGUAAAGUAUCGGAACGUGCCCAGUCGGGGGGGAUAACGUAGCGAAAGUUACGCUAAUACCGCAUACGAUCUAUGGAUGAAAGCGGGGGAUCGCAAGACCUCGCGCGAUUGGAGCGGCCGAUAUCAGAUUAGGUAGUUGGUGGGGUAAAGGCUCACCAAGCCGACGAUCUGUAGCUGGGCUGAGAGGACGGCCAGCCCGACUGGGAGUGAGACGCGGCCCAGACUCCUACGGGAGGCAGCAGAGGGGAAUGUUGGACAAUGGGCGGAAGCCUGAUCCAGCCAUGCCGCGUGCAGGGUGAAGGUCUUCGGGUUGUUAGCUGCUUGUGUACGGAACGAAAAGGUUUGGCCUAAUAAGCUGAGCUCAUGACGGUACCGUAAGAAUAAGCACCGGCUAACUACGUGCCAGCAGCCGCGGUAA
rnacentral:rRNA from 1 species